UCGCUGCUCCUCAUCUUCUUCUCAAUCCUCCAUCCCCCAAUUCAAUCCUAUCCAUCUCCCUCUCCCUCAUCCGCCGCCACCACUGGCAACCUCGGUGCCCCUCUCCCUAACUGCCACCGCCCCCACCCUCUCCCCCAUCCCCUGCUCUCACCUUCUCUCCUUAAACUAGGCGGCCCCCAGAACGAGCAGGCCGAGGCGCUUCUCGAUUUGGCGGCGCUUCUUCCAGAUCCGCCGAGCAGCGCCAGAGGUCGGCUCCUUCUUCGCUUGUUCUGCGCCAAGGUUGGCCUCCCCUUCCUUUUCCGUGUGGUCCAUGGCGCUAACCCCGGACGGUGAGGCACUCAAUACCAUGGCCGGACGGAGGUUGGGAGAUUUUCUUCCCUGACCUCGCCGCCUAGCCACUCCAUGGCGAGCUUCUCGCCCCCAGUGUUUUUCUCUCUUAGAAUCAUAUUCUGGUCAGGCUGCUUGUGCUGUCAAAUUUGAACUAUUUAUUAGGAUUGAUUUCUAUGCCACUAAUGCCUACUACCUUCUCCACCCAUCCAAUGGCGUACAAGACGCCCUCCUCCUCGAUGCAGUUGUUCCCAAUGAGCUCUCUUUGCCGGAAGAGGUGUAGAAGCAAGUCCAGCACCCCCUUGGCCCCUGCAUCCUGUCCUACAUCACCUGGAUGAGCUCACUGAUGGCUGCAUCCUCCUUACCUCCUAGCGUGAUAUUGGUUUAUGGGAGCAUUUUCAACAACAAAGACAUGACGAGCGGGUCCACAGCCAGGAAUGUGGGGUCCCCUGGUUGUUCGACGAGCAUUGUGCGUUGCUUGAUGGGUGUGGUGCUGGCUGUAGAGUAGCAUAGUGUUCUUUGAGACAUGCUUGUAGAAUUAAUCUUUUUUGGAUUCUUUUUUUGCUCAUGUACAUGUGUAUUUUUGGGUGUGUUCAUGUAAUUUUUUUAAGGAUCUGAACAUAUAUUUUCUGUUAAAUUAUUAUUGGCUUAAAAUUUCCAGGGACCAA